UCCAGACUCCUACGGGAGGCAGCAGUGAGGAAUAUUGGUCAAUGGGCGGGAGCCUGAACCAGCCAAGUCGCGUGAAGGAAGAAGGUACUUAGUAUUGUAAACUUCUUUUGUCGGGGAACAAAGGCGGAGACGCGUCUCCGGAUGAGUGUACCCGAAGAAAAAGCAUCGGCUAACUCCGUGCCAGCAGCCGCGGUAAUACGGAGGAUGCGAGCGUUAUCCGGAUUUAUUGGGUUUAAAGGGUGCGUAGGCGGGCUUUUAAGUCAGCGGUAAAAAUUCGGGGCUCAACCCCGUCCGGCCGUUGAAACUGGGGGCCUUGAGUGGGCGAGAAGAAGGCGGAAUGCGUGGUGUAGCGGUGAAAUGCAUAGAUAUCACGCAGAACUCCGAUUGCGAAGGCAGCAUACCGGCGCCCAACUGACGCUGAAGCACGAAAGCGUGGGUAUCGAACAGGAUUAGAUACCCCUGUAUAG
rnacentral:rRNA from 1 species